UCUAUCCAAGCGCAUCACGGUAAUCUUUGGGACUUCAUUCCAAUAAUUGAUAGCAAUCAUGGAAGCAAGCGUAGCGAGAGCAUCCUCCAUCCGAUUCUCAUCUUGAGGAGUAUGAUGGAAGUCAACUUUAGUAAAGAAAGUUGAAAUUCUCCUCGCAUAAUCUCUAUAUGGGAUGAGGCCAGGUUGAUUUGUCUCCCAUUCACCCUUAAUCUAAUUAACAACAAGGGCCAAAUCACCAUAAAUAUCAAGAUGUUUGAUCCUAAGAUCAAC
rnacentral:lncRNA from 1 species